GACGAACGCUGGCGGCGUGCUUAACACAUGCAAGUCGAACGGUGAAGCGCCUUCCUUUUUGGUGGGUGUGGAUGAGUGGCGAACGGGUGAGUAACACGUGAGUAACCUGCCCCCUUCUUCUGGAUAACCGCAUGAAAGUGUGGCUAAUACGGGAUAUUCUGGGUCUGUCGCAUGAUGGGUCUGGGAAAGAUAUUGUUUCGGUGGGGGAUGGGCUCGCGGCCUAUCAGCUUGUUGGUGGGGUGAUGGCCUACCAAGGCGGUGACGGGUAGCCGGCCUGAGAGGGUGGACGGUCACACUGGGACUGAGACACGGCCCAGACUCCGACGGGAGGCAGCAGUGGGGAAUAUUGCACAGUGGGCGCAAGGCUGAUGCAGCGACGCCGCGGGAGGGAUGGAGGCCUUCGGGUUGUGAACCUCUUUCGCCAGUGAAGCAGGCCUGCCUCGUUUGUGGGUGGGUUGACGGUAGCUGGAUAAGAAGCGCCGGCUAACUACGUG
rnacentral:rRNA from 1 species